CCCUUUUAUUUACUUGUGAUUCA
rnacentral:miRNA from 1 species